GCCCAACUGAUUGAUGGUGCUUGCACCUGAUUGGCGAUGGAUCACCAGUGAGUGGCGGACGGGUGAGUAACACGUAGGUAACCUGCCCCGGAGCGGGGGAUAACAUUUGGAAACAGAUGCUAAUACCGCAUAACAACAAAAACCACAUGGCUUUUGUUUGAAAGAUGGCUUUGGCUAUCACUCUGGGAUGGACCUGCGGUGCAUUAGCUAGUUGGUAAGGUAACGGCUUACCAAGGCGAUGAUGCAUAGCCGAGUUGAGAGACUGAUCGGCCACAAUGGAACUGAGACACGGUCCAUACUCCUACGGGAGGCAGCAGUAGGGAAUCUUCCACAAUGGGCGCAAGCCUGAUGGAGCAACACCGCGUGAGUGAAGAAGGGUUUCGGCUCGUAAAGCUCUGUUGUUGGAGAAGAACGUGCGUGAGAGUAACUGUUCACGCAGUGACGGUAUCCAACCAGAAAGUCACGGCUAACUACGUGCCAGCAGCCGCGGUAAUACGUAGGUGGCAAGCGUUAUCCGGAUUUAUUGGGCGUAAAGCGAGCGCAGGCGGUUGCUUAGGUCUGAUGUGAAAGCCUUCGGCUUAACCGAAGAAGUGCAUCGGAAACCGGGCGACUUGAGUGCAGAAGAGGACAGUGGAACUCCAUGUGUAGCGGUGGAAUGCGUAGAUACAUGGAAGACACCAGUGGCGA
rnacentral:rRNA from 1 species